rnacentral:snRNA from 1 species
AUUAUUACUUGGCACAGGAGUAGAAACCAUGAUCAUCAAGGUGGUUCCAUUGCACUCUGGUUGGGUUGACCUUUAUGAUUGCCCCAAAUGUGGGCGACUCGGGUGUACUAUUUCUAAGUGUGGGGCCUGCAUUUGCGCUCACCCCAU